rnacentral:rRNA from 1 species
UACAGAGGGGGCAAGCGUUAUUCGGAAUCAUUGGGCGUAAAGGGCGCGUAGGCGGCUUUGUAAGUCCGUUGUGAAAUCCCUCGGCUCAACCGAGGAACUGCGACGGAUACUGCUUGGCUUGAGUCCCGGAGAGGGUAGCGGAAUUCCCAGUGUAGCGGUGAAAUGCGUAGAUAUCAGGAGGAACACCGGUGGCGAAGGCGGCUCUCUGGACCACAACUGACGCUGAGGCGCGAAAGCUAGGGGAGCAAACAGG